AAGAAGGUUUUCGGAUCGUAAAGCUCUGUUGUAAGUCAAGAACGAGUGUGAGAGUGGAAAGUUCACACUGUGACGGUAGCUUACCAGAAAGGGACGGCUAACUACGUGCCAGCAGCCGCGGUAAUACGUAGGUCCCGAGCGUUGUCCGGAUUUAUUGGGCGUAAAGCGAGCGCAGGCGGUUUGAUAAGUCUGAAGUUAAAGGCUGUGGCUCAACCAUAGUUCGCUUUGGAAACUGUCAAACUUGAGUGCAGAAGGGGAGAGUGGAAUUCCAUGUGUAGCGGUGAAAUGCGUAGAUAUAUGGAGGAACACCGGUGGCGAAAGCGGCUCUCUGGUCUGUAACUGACGCUGAGGCUCGAAAGCGUGGGGAGCGAACAGGAUUAGAUACCCUGGUAGUCCACGCCGUAAACGAUGAGUGCUAGGUGUUGGAUCCUUUCCGGGAUUCAGUGCCGCAGCUAACGCAUUAAGCACUCCGCCUGGGGAGUACGACCGCAAGGUUGAAACUCAAAGGAAUUGACGGGGGCCCGCACAAGCGGUGGAGCAUGUGGUUUAAUUCGAAGCAACGCGAAGAACCUUACCAGGUCUUGACAUCCCGAUGCUAUUUCUAGAGAUAGAAAGUUACUUCGGUACAUCGGUGACAGGUGGUGCAU
rnacentral:rRNA from 1 species